CUGUGAUAUCGGAGGAAUCUGGGCUAACAACUUGACAUUAGCCUUUUGUCACACACAGUUAUACACGCAGUGCUCAAACUAGGUGUAAACUCACUAGUUUAAUUGACAGUAGUGCUGGAGAACCCCACUCAGGGCUGCCAAGGCAUGGAGUGUUGUUUAAGUGCUCUUUCAUGAGCUAAAAGCCCAGAGUGUAAUUUGUACAUUGUGGGCAUAUCUAAUGACGCACUUGCACUGCACUAGAAGUGGGACACCAGAGACCCAUAAUUUGGGACUGUCCCACUGAAUGAGGGAUGGUUUUGCAGGUGAGUAUCAGUAACUGUCUCUGAGCAUCUAAU